rnacentral:rRNA from 1 species
GAUGAACGCUGGCGGCGUGCCUAAUACAUGCCAGUCGAGCGAACAGACGAGGAGCUUGCUCCUCUGACGUUAGCGGCGGACGGGUGAGUAACACGUGGAUAACCUACCUAUAAGACUGGGAUAAAUUCGGGAAACCGGAGCUAAUACCGGAUAAUAUAUUGAACCGCAUGGUUCAAUAGUGAAAGACGGUUUUGCUGUCACUUAUAGAUGGAUCCUCGCCGCAUUAGCUAGUUGGUAAGGUAACGGCUUACCAAGGCAACGAUGCGUAGCCGACCUGAGAGGGUGAUCGGCCACACUGGAACUGAGACACGGUCCAGACUCCUACGGGAGGCAGCAGUAGGGAAUCUUCCGCAAUGGGCGAAAGCCUGACGGAGCAACGCCGCGUGAGUGAUGAAGGUCUUCGGAUCGUAAAACUCUGUUAUUAGGGAAGAACAAAUGUGUAAGUAACUAUGCACGUCUUGACGGUACCUAAUCAGAAAGCCACGGCUAACUACGUG